CCAGGACGCCACGGCGCCGACGCGAGCAACGGAGGUCGGGUGGGGCGCGUCCACGUUGUGCAGGAGGUGGGGCUGCUCGUCCCAAGCCGCCAUCAAGGAUUCUAGUCCCAAAGUCUGAGAAGGCAGUUCUUUUGAUUCCAUGGAUGUUGAAGCUCUUACGAAGAUGAACAAGAACAAGAAGCUUGUCAAGAAGUAUCAUGCUUUCUUAGCCUCGGAGGCUAUUAUGAAGCAGAUUCCCUGUCUCCUCGGUCCUUGAAUCAACAAGGCAGGCAAGUGCUCUGCUGUGUCAUGUGUUCAUAUGACAAGGAAUUUACCUCGGUGCCGCUAUCAGGAGCUCCUCGAUACUGGCAUCCAAAGG